AUUGAACGCUGGCGGCAGGCCUAACACAUGCAAGUCGAACGGUAACAGGGAUCAGCUUGCUGAUUCGCUGACGAGUGGCGGACGGGUGAGUAAUGUCUGGGAAACUGCCUGAUGGAGGGGGAUAACUACUGGAAACGGUAGCUAAUACCGCAUAACGUCGCAAGACCAAAGAGGGGGACCUUCGGGCCUCUUGCCAUCGGAUGUGCCCAGAUGGGAUUAGCUAGUAGGUGGGGUAACGGCUCACCUAGGCGACGAUCCCUAGCUGGUCUGAGAGGAUGACCAGCCACACUGGAACUGAGACACGGUCCAGACUCCUACGGGAGGCAGCAGUGGGGAAUAUUGCGCAAAGGGCGCAAGCCUGAUGCAGCCAUGCCGCGUGUAUGAAGAAGGCCUUCGGGUUGUAAAGUACUUUCAGCGGGGAGGAAGGGAGUAAAGUUAAUACCUUUGCUCAUUGACGUUACCCGCAGAAGAAGCACCGGCUAACUCCGUG
rnacentral:rRNA from 1 species